UGCAGUCGAACGGUAACAGGAAUUAGCUUGCUAAUUUGCUGACGAGUGGCGCACGGGUGCGUAACGCGUAUACAAUCUACCUUUUGCUGAGGGAUAGCCCAGAGAAAUUUGGAUUAAUACCUCAUGGUAUUAUUGAUAGGCAUCUAUUAAUAAUUAAAGGUUACGGCAAAAGAUGAGUAUGCGUCCCAUUAGCUAGUUGGCGAGGUAACGGCUCACCAAGGCAACGAUGGGUAGGGGUCCUGAGAGGGAGAUCCCCCACACUGGUACUGAGACACGGACCAGACUCCUACGGGAGGCAGCAGUGAGGAAUAUUGGACAAUGGGCGAGAGCCUGAUCCAGCCAUGCCGCGUGCAGGAAGACUGCCCUAUGGGUUGUAAACUGCUUUUAUACAGGAAGAAUAAGCCUUACGUGUAAGGUGAUGACGGUACUGUAAGAAUAAGGACCGGCUAACUCCGUGCCAGCAGCCGCGGUAAUACGGAGGGUCCGAGCGUUAUCCGGAAUUAUUGGGUUUAAAGGGUCCGUAGGCGGAUGAUUAAGUCAGGGGUGAAAGUUUGCAGCUCAACUGUAAAAUUGCCUUUGAUACUGGUCAUCUUGAGUUGUAUUGAAGUAGGCGGAAUAUGUAGUGUAGCGGUGAAAUGCAUAGA
rnacentral:rRNA from 1 species